CUAAGAAUUUAUGCACGUAAAAAUUAGUCGAAGGUGGCACGGAGAAUUCGACGUUGCCUGAUUGACAGUUGACUUGAUUAAAAGGUCGCAAAGAGUGACAGCCUAACAGUAGACAGGAGAAACGCAUUGAUGGGAAGGUUCUUGGCGGUUGGCGCCUCCGAAUUACCCCACGAUGUCUAAAACAUUGCGGCGCGUUCAUGACAAUUGAUGAAUGUGUAAAUAUAAAAAUUACACACAGAGGGACAAAGUUUUGAUGAGAUGAAACCAUUUCUAAAGAGCGAGAGUAUAGCAGUCGCUAGCGAAGCAGGCUGGGAGGAAGACAGUCGUCUCAUUGUUACGCUGUUUGCCUGUUAUUCCCAUGGAAUCGAAGCCCCGAUCCUCAGCUAGUCCUCCACCAAAGCCAUGGGAACGCGCGGGUUCGUCAACUAGCCCAGCACCUUUAAGACCACCAUCAGCUGGCAUCAAAAGUGAUGUAGCAGAGGCUUCGGGGACGGACAGCAAAACACGGGGAAAUAGCUUCUACUUCUGAUAAGAAUGCAACUGCCAAAAGGGAAUACUGUUGGAAGGCCUGGGGAGCAGAACUAUGGAAGCAGCGGCUAUGGCGGUAAUUUUUGUAUCUUCAUUCUUCACGGUCCUAUUUAUCCCUCAUUGAACACCCCACCUUUCCACCUUACCUGGUUCUACCAUGAAUUGUGGUGGAUUAGAAGGGUUGUACGGUAACAGUUUGUACAGGAAAGGGUAUGGUGGACUUCAUGGAUCAUCUGGAAUGCAGAAUAGCUGCUUUGGUGGCUAUGCUAUGGCUAGUCCUUGUGGACCUCAAGAUGCCAAUGAUCCCUAUGGCUGGCCUCUUUCUCCGCCGGGGUUUUGGAUUUCUGUCUCACGUGUGGUAGGCUAUCUUAUGCCUGGGCUAAUUUAAAUUUCUCCUGUACGGGUGAAUACGCAAAUUGACGAUUUUAUAAUUAAAAUAAUCGGUAUCCUUCCUUCCCGUCUAGGAUUUAGAUCAAAUUUAAGUUUAUUUGCUCAGA